CAAAAUAAAUAAGUAAAUCUUUUUUAAAAAAUUAUACAAGGGGUGGGGAGGCAGAGAGUUAAAAUGAGGCCAGGGGAAAGAAAUAGAUCCGUAAAGCAAAUAUGGAUUUUACGAAAAAUAGACAAUGUCAGAGGACAGCUCUGUCUGUGAGCUCGGGAAGCCUGGGAAGGACGGAGAAGAAUUGUGUGGUGGGAUCAGAUGGGCUCUAGGCCCUGCAGCGCUGAAAGGGAAAGCGGGUAGGGGACAGGACUUAGCCGCCCCCAUCCUUCGCCCUCCAUCUUUGGGGGCUCUGUGGCAGCGUUUCAUCGCUUCAGACAACAGGAUUUGUACUAUUUGCUUAAAAAUCCCUUUUUGUUUUUUCCAGCACACGGGCAUCUCUGUGUUGGUACGAAGCUGGAGAUGUAGUCAAUGUAUUUCCGAAAAAGUGAUGACUGUUAUUCCCUGGAACGCUGGAACUAGCCAGUGACCUAACACAGUGCCUUGCCCUUGGCAAGCUCUCCAUAAACGCAUGUCAAAAAAGUAGACAAAUAAGAGUGGCAGUCUUCUCCAAUCAAGAUCCCUUAAAGAGAGGUAACUUUCCAAUCUUCUCUUUGCCCCGAAAGCGACUGCGAAAUCUCUUGAACGGUGGGCACCAGGCCGCAGGCCUCGCUCCCCGCCCCCCUCGACCCCCCGCCCGGGAGCCGCCACCGCACGCCGCAGUCGGGAACAGCAGCCCCAAGUUCGGCGGGAGAGGUGACAACGUGUUGACCGUUGCAGGACUCCGGGAACGAGAGGUCGUCUCUCGGGCUUGAAAUCCACUCGGGCGGUGAGGCGAGGCGCGACUCCAGAGCGCGCUCUAAGCAGGAGCGGCCGCCCGGGGCCAGGGGUCAGCCGUGCCCCGCGGCGCGGAGGGGGCCUCCGGAGGGAGAGGGCGCGGCGCCCCGCGCGCCCCCCAGCUGCCCGGGAACGCCCGC